AAGUGACGAGAGGUUGUGGGAGGGGUCAGGGAAAUCUAACGGAACACCCGUCUACUGCCCCCUAUGGGUGACCUGCUCGUCAAAAGCGGCGAAUACCUGACUCCUCCCCGUACGGUCUCUACUCCAGCUCCCUGACUCCUCCCACAUCUUCCUCAUCACAUGAUCACUCCCGAGUAUCGCUCCUCCAGCUACCUGACUUGCAACACGUGACAGAGGUCACGUGGUGACGCCACAUCACAGCCAUAUUGGUACACCCACGCAGGUCCUGGUGGAGGUGUAAUGCUCUGUAGGCAUGUUAGAAGAAGUGAGAAGUCGAGGGGCCCACGGGCUCCUCAUAAUGACAGACAGUGCCUUCCAUUCUGGCCUCAGAUUACUGUACAGCUUCAUCAUGGCCGCACUUCAGAGGGCGGAGUUGGUCCACGUCUUCGGCUAUGAGGUUCCAGAGGAAGACUUUCGGGCCGGCUUAC